GAUGAACGCUGGCGGCGUGCCUAAUACAUGCAAGUCGAGCGAACAGACGAGGAGCUUUCUCCUCUGACGUUAGCGGCGGACGGGUGAGUAACACGUGGAUAACCUACCUAUAAAACUGGGAUAACUUCGGGAAACCGGAGCUCAUACCGUAUAAUAUAUUGAACCGCAUGGUUCAAUAGUGAAUGACGGUUUUGCUGUCACUUACAGAUGGAUCCGCGCCGCAUUAGCUAGUUGGUAAGGUAACGGCUUACCAAGGCAACGAUGCGUAGCCGACCUGAGAGGAUGAUCGGCCACACUGGAACUGAGACACGGUCCAGACUCCUACGGGAGGCAGCAGUAGGGAAUCUUCCGCAAUGGGCGAAAGCCUGACGGAGCAACGCCGCGUGCGGGAUGAAGGUCUUCGGAUCGUAAAACUCUGUUAUUAGGGAAGAACAAAUGUGUAAGUAACUAUGCACGUCUUGACGGUACCUAAUCAGAAAGCCACGGCUAACUACGUG
rnacentral:rRNA from 1 species